rnacentral:tRNA from 1 species
GCCGAGAUAGCUCAGUUGGUAGAGCAGCGGACUGAAAAUCCGCGUGUCCCUGGUUCAAUUCCUGGUCUCGGCACCA